UAGGGAAUCUUCGGCAAUGGGCUAACGCCUGACCGAGCGACGCCGCGUGGUGGAAGACGGCCUUCGGGUUGUAAACACCUUUUAUAUGGGACGAACUUUGACGGUACCAUAUGAAUAAGAGGUUGCUAACUCUGUGCCAGCAGCAGCGGUAAUACAGAGACCUCAAACGUUAUCCGGAAUCACUGGGCGUAAAGCGUUCCGAUCGGUGGUUUUGUAAGUCUUUGGUGAAAGCCUGGAGCUCAACUCCAGAAUCGCCAAGGAAACUAUAAGACUAGAAGUGCAAAGAGGGUGCUGGAACUUUGGGUGUAGCGGUGAAAUGCGUUGAUAUCCAAAGGAACACUAAUAGCGAAGGCAGGCACCUGGGUGCAUCUUGACACUGCUAGGACGAAAGCGUGGGGAGCGAAUGGG
rnacentral:rRNA from 1 species